UAGCCAAAGGAAAGGAGAAGGAAAGCAAACAGCUGGAGCAGAGCAAGGAGAUGAGCUCUGCAGCGGUGCAUGGAGGAGUUAGUACUGUAGGAUGCUGUAUCCGCAGCACCUUGGAUGGGGAGAAGACUGCAGCAUGUUUGCUCAACUGGUCCGUUCACGUUGCUUAUCAGUAAAAGUGAAGUCAGAAGCUGCAGCCUUUCUGCUCUUGCUGAAGGUUGUUGGUGUUUCUCAGACGUUAUAAUUGGUUAGCGACGAGAAACAGUGCAUGUGUUCCACAUAUAGAGAAAGAUUGCAAACUAAAAAAAAAAAAAGCAAAACCAGCCAUCAAUUCCAGAAUGCAAGAAAGUACUUGACAAAGUGCAUUUUAUCAACAGAAUGAAAUUAGAUACCUGUCAAAAUACAUUUGUCCUCAAAAUAACUAUUCAUGUAUUUGAUUUUCCUGCAUAAAUAGAUAUUCAUCUGCUCUC